GAGUCGGACCUGCCCGGUGAAUAAUUUUAACGGCCGCGGUACUCUGACCGUGCAAAGGUAGCAUAAUCAUUUGCCCUAUAAUUGAGGGCUAGUAUGAAUGGUUUAACGUGAACAAGACUGUCUCUAUGUAAUUUUUUAGAACUUGAUUUCUAGGUGAAGAAACCUAGAUGCCAUUGAUAGACAAGAAGACCCUAUUGAGCUUUAAAGAAACAGGUUGAAAAGAAUAUAUAACUUUAAAUAUUAAUCUACUUGAAAUUUUGGUUGGGGCGACUAUGGAACAAAUAAAGCUUCUUUAUGUUACUAAAAACUUUCAGGUCUUGAUCCAAAAGUUUUGAUCAAUGGAAAUAGUUACCAUAGGGAUAACAGCAUAAUUUUCUUUGAGAGCUCUUAUCGAAAAGAAAGUUUGUGACCUCGAUGUUGGACUAGAAUAUCCUAAAGAUGCAGCAGUCUUUAAGGGUUGGUC
rnacentral:rRNA from 1 species